UACCACUUGUUGAGUUUUGGUGUAGUAA
rnacentral:piRNA from 1 species